GAUGAACGCUAGCGGGAGGCCUAACACAUGCAAGCCGAGCGGUAGAGAUUCUUCGGAAUCUUGAGAGCGGCGUACGGUGCGGAACGCGUGUGCAACCUACCUUUAUCUGGAGGAUAGCCUUUCGAAAGGAAGAUUAAUACUCCAUAAUAUAUUGAUUGGCAUCAAUUGAUAUUGAAAGCUCCGGCGGAUAGAGAUGGGCACGCGCAAGAUUAGUUAGUUGGUGAGGUAACGGCUCACCAAGACGAUGAUCUUUAGGGGCCUGAGAGGUGAUCCCCACACUGGUACUGAGACACGGACCAGACUCCUACAGGAGGCAGCAGUGAGGAAUAUUGGUCAAUGGGUGCAAAGCCUGAACCAGCCAUCCCGCGUGAAGGACG
rnacentral:rRNA from 1 species